CGACGUCGGUUCCUCCUCCUGACUGAAGACUAUCAGGAGGAUUUUACGACGUCGUAGAUUAACGAGUCUGUUUCACCCAGAGAGCUUCAGGCUAAGGCCCAAUACACGGCUACCUGGUUUUGCAAGACUCAACAAAA